UACGUAGGGUGCAAGCGUUGUCCGGAAUUAUUGGGCGUAAAGAGCUCGUAGGCGGUUUGUCGCGUCUGCUGUGAAAACGCGAGGCUCAACCUCGCGCCUGCAGUGGGUACGGGCAGACUAGAGUGCGGUAGGGGAGAUUGGAAUUCCUGGUGUAGCGGUGGAAUGCGCAGAUAUCAGGAGGAACACCGAUGGCGAAGGCAGAUCCGUCUGGGAGC
rnacentral:rRNA from 1 species